AUGUUUCUUUUUCUGUGCUUACCCUUUCUUUCUGCUGUGAAUGAGUGAGAAGACUGGGAUGAGGUUAUAGAACAUGGUCACAAAAAUCUUUCUCCUAAUGCUUUUUAGAGUGGGCUAUGCUACAAAGCUAACUUUUUUCUUCUUCUUCUUUAGAGAGUCGUCCUUCCUUACGACUCAGGAAUAAAUUUGGCGUGACUGAACCACCACCAGAUGAAAUUAUUAUUGUGCCACCACCAAUUUAUGUAAUUAUAAAAUCUCCAUUCUCCUAUUGAUCAUUUGUAACUUUUAGGACAGCCACAGCUAAGGAACCAUACCAUUAUGAUACUCCUGUGGGCUGCCUACAUUCUACAAGCACAGCUCUCUGAUACCCCACCACCACCACCACUAACUGAAUUUUGACCUGUUCUUCAAUGCACAUCCCCAACAUGCUUAUAAAAGUGAUGGCAACUAUCAUUUCAUUCAUUUAUAAAUUUUGUUUCUCAUUAUCAGAAAUAAUAUUAUGAUAAACUGUAUUUUAUCAACAUAGACCAU